GGGCGUAUAGCUCAGUUGGUUAGAGCGCACGGUUCACAUCCGUGAGGUCACAGGUUCGAGUCCUGUUAUGCCCACCC
rnacentral:tRNA from 1 species